CAGACAGCAGGCUGUGGUGCUCUGAGUCAUUGAGAAGGGCUAGAGGACUACUAGAAAGCUCUUAUAGUUUGGUGCAGAUCUCAAAGUUUCCUCAAGCAGGUGAGAGGGCACUGGGUUGAGCAGGGAGAUCUUUUGAGAAAGCUUCAGCAGCACACUGUUCAUGGGUAGAGAGGAGGAACUAAACAGAGAGGCAGCAAAAUAUCAUGGCAUAUCUUCACCUGUUAGUGUAAG